UACGGAGGAUCCGAGCGUUAUCCGGAUUUAUUGGGUUUAAAGGGUGUGUAGGCGGAAGAAUAAGUCAGUGGUGAAAGUUUGCAGCUCAACUGUAAAAUUGCCGUUGAAACUGUUUGUCUUGAGUGUAAAAGAGGUAGGCGGAAUGUGUUGUGUAGCGGUGAAAUGCUUAGAUAUGACACAGAACACCGAUUGCGAAGGCAGCUUACUAAGAUACAACUGACGCUGAGACGCGAAAGCGUGGGGAGCAAACAGG
rnacentral:rRNA from 1 species